UACGGGGGGGGCAAGCGUUGUUCGGAAUUACUGGGCGUAAAGGGCUCGUAGGCGGCCAUCUAAGUCAGACGUGAAAUCCCUCGGCUUAACCGGGGAACUGCGUCUGAUACUGGAUGGCUUGAGUUCGGGAGAGGGAUGCGGAAUUCCAGGUGUAGCGGUGAAAUGCGUAGAUAUCUGGAGGAACACCGGUGGCGAAGGCGGCAUCCUGGACCGACACUGACGCUGAGGAGCGAAAGCCAGGGGAGCAAACGGG
rnacentral:rRNA from 1 species